rnacentral:rRNA from 1 species
GUGGGGAAUAUUGGACAAUGGGCGAAAGCCUGAUCCAGCCAUACCGCGUGUGUGAAGAAGGUCUUCGGAUUGUAAAGCACUUUAAGUUGGGAGGAAGGGCAGUAAGUUAAUACCUUGCUGUUUUGACGUUACCGACAGAAUAAGCACCGGCUAACUUCGUGCCAGCAGCCGCGGUAAUACGAAGGGUGCAAGCGUUAAUCGGAAUUACUGGGCGUAAAGCGCGCGUAGGUGGUUUUGUAAGUUGGAGGUGAAAUCCCCGGGCUCAACCUGGGAACUGCCUCCAAAACUGCAUGACUAGAGUACGGUAGAGGGUAGUGGAAUUUCCUGUGUAGCGGUGAAAUGCGUAGAUAUAGGAAGGAACACCAGUGGCGAAGGCGACUACCUGGACUGAUACUGACACUGAGGUGCGAAAGCGUGGGGAGCAAACAGGAUUAGAAACCCCAGUAGUCC